GGGGAUGUAGCUCAGUGGUAAAGUGCUUGCUUAGCAUGCAUGAGGCCCUGAGUUCAAUCCCCAGCACCCA
rnacentral:tRNA from 1 species